GGCCGCCAGGAAACAAAUGCGCGAGGCCGCAAGCGGAUCCAGCGGGUUGCGACGUUCAGACGGCCUGCCAGGAACAAGAUGGUUGGCUUGUUGCUUCUGAUCUGAUUGCUCCAGGACUCCUUUUGUUUUUCUGCCACAAAGUUCCUUCCACCUAUGAUAUGUGUAUCAAGCAGUCGAUCACACCAGUUCACCAAUCAGCCCUAUUUGCUUCACCGGCCGGAUCUCCUAGAGAGGAACUAUGGAUAAAUUUUAUCAAGAGUAAUAGGGGCACUUCGACGAGUUGGCAGUAAUUCCCGUGGACGAACCAACUACUGAUGUUAAGAAUCAAGAUCCAUAUGAGCUUGGUUACGCACUAAAUUAUUCUGGAGGAUCUCAGGUAAUCGUUGCAGUUGAAGAUUACGCCCCUGGUCAUGAUUCUCAUUUUCAAACUUGCCAUUCAUCAUAGGUUUUGGAUGGAGUGUAUUCAUGCAUUAUAUUGGAGCAGGGACCUGCGGAGGAGGGGGAUACCAUGGGGAGGCGAACCUGGUAAAGUAGGGGUGGAAAGUAGACUAUAGGUAUGUUAUCCGUGGCAAGGACUUGGUGGAUUGUUUACCAUUUAGUUGUGUUCAACACCGAAAAAUGGUAAUAUCAUUUUUUGUCCUUUGCAAAUUAAAUUAUUAAUCCAUAACAUUAUUUUUAUAUAUGGGCUUCUAUUAGCGCAACUGGAUUGAUGUAGCGGAGAAUUACCUUCAAAAUGAUUAAACGAAUGCGAAGAUUGGCCUUCUUGAAUUUUGACCACGUCUAAUAACACUUCUAAAUUAUGUCUAAUCUCCAUGUAGUUUGGUCCGGUUAUUUCAUCAACUAGCCCACUACUAUGUGCUGGAAGUUAUAUUGUUACUUAAUACAGGCUACCCAUUCUAAACAUCUUUUUGACUGUGUUGUCAGAUUGAUUUAUCCAAUGGAACCUCACAUUAAUAAUAAAUUCCUUACAAUAACAAUGUGCUUUAUUUUAAAAUGGUUGAAUAUAAUUA